UACCCUUGACAUGUAUAGAAGUUUGUUGAGAGAUGAAUGUGCCCGAAAGGGAGCUAUAACAC
rnacentral:rRNA from 1 species